UACGUAGGGUGCGAGCGUUAAUCGGAAUUACUGGGCGUAAAGGGUGCGCAGGCGGCUCCGCAUGUCGGGCGUGAAAUCCCCGGGCUUAACCUGGGAAUGGCAUUUGUGACUGCACGGCUAGAGUGUGUCAGAGGGGGGUAGAAUUCCACGUGUAGCAGUGAAAUGCGUAGAUAUGUGGAGGAAUACCGAUGGCGAAGGCAGCCCCCUGGGAUAACACUGACGCUCAUGCACGAAAGCGUGGGGAGCAAACAGG
rnacentral:rRNA from 1 species